GAGCUAGUGGUGGGAGCAGAGGAAAAGAUAAAGAACUGCCUAAAUGUAGUGGAGAUGGGGGAAGAAAGAAAAGAGCAGAAAAAGAAAAGUUGAUGCCAUUGCCGCCCCCUUCUCCAGACUUCAGCAGUUGUGAAAGUGAAUGAGAAUACAACAACUCUUUUGAAGACAACAGCACCCCAACACAACUGCAUUAAGUUGCAAUACAGAAGUUGGAACUGAUCAUUU